AUACUUACCUGGAAGGGCAGAUACCAUGAUCUUAAAGGCAGUUUUCCCAGUACGAGGCUUAGCCAUUACUCUCUGGAUCCAUUACAGGUGCUGAUCCCUGUAAUUGCCCCAAAUGUGGAAAACUCAGCUGCAACAUUUGUGGUAGUGGGUGACUGCAGUAUGCAUUCAGGUA
ensembl:snRNA U1 U1 spliceosomal RNA